UACGUAGGGUGCAAGCGUUAAUCGGAAUUACUGGGCGUAAAGCGUGCGCAGGCGGUUUUGUAAGUCUGUCGUGAAAUCCCCGGGCUUAACCUGGGAAUGGCGAUGGAGACUGCAAGGCUAGAAUCUGGCAGAGGGGGGUAGAAUUCCACGUGUAGCAGUGAAAUGCGUAGAGAUGUGGAGGAACACCGAUGGCGAAGGCAGCCCCCUGGGUCAAGAUUGACGCUCAUGCACGAAAGCGUGGGGAGCGAACAGG
rnacentral:rRNA from 1 species